GGCCAGCGGAUCGCACCAGGGCUUGCAGAGCGCUUUCAUCUGCCCGACGCGGAAAUCUCCCGCAGCGAUCUUCUACCUUUAACGGGCAUCCGCAGCACCCAGAGGGCAUGUUAAAGAGAGAUUGAGAACCGCCAGCAAAACUACUGAUUCAUUUGGGAUCCUUGGUGGACAGUACCUAAGCAUGGAGGCAACAGCAUGUUUCUGGCCAGGGCCACUCUCCGUGUUUCAGAGACCAUCAAUCUUCAGAUGAUCAUGCAACAGGGUUUCCAGCCAGUUCCAAAUGAAGACAGCACCCCGGCCAUCAAGAAACUACUCUGUUGGCCGGGCGCAGUGGCUCACGCCUGUAAUCCCAGCACUUUGGGAGGCUGAGUGUCUCACUAUUUUGCCAAG